GACGAACGCUGGCGGCGUGCCUAAUACAUGCAAGUCGAACGCACUCUCGUUUAGAUUGAAGGAGCUUGCUCCUGAUUGAUAAACAUUUGAGUGAGUGGCGGACGGGUGAGUAACACGUGGGUAACCUGCCCUAAAGUGGGGGAUAACAUUUGGAAGCAGAUGCUAAUACCGCAUAAAACCUAAACACCGCAUGGUGUAGGGUUGAAAGAUGGUUUCGGCUAUCACUUUAGGAUGGACCCGCGGUGCAUUAGUUAGUUGGUGAGGUAAAGGCUCACCAAGACCGUGAUGCAUAGCCGACCUGAGAGGGUAAUCGGCCACACUGGGACUGAGACACGGCCCAGACUCCUACGGAAGGCAGCAGUAGGGAAUCUUCCACAAUGGACGAAAGUCUGAUGGAGCAACGCCGCGUGAGUGAAGAAGGUUUUCGGAUCGUAAAACUCUGUUGUUGGAGAAGAAUGUAUUUGAUAGUAACUGAUCAGGUAGUGACGGUAUCCAACCAGAAAGCCACGG
rnacentral:rRNA from 1 species